UACGUAGGGCGCGAGCGUUAAUCGGAAUUACUGGGCGUAAAGCGUGCGCAGGCGGUUUUGUAAGCCAGAUGUGAAAUCCCCGGGCUCAACCUGGGAAUGGCAUUUGGGACUGCAAGGCUGGAGUUUGGCAGAGGAGACUGGAAUUCCCGGUGUAGCAGUGAAAUGCGUAGAUAUCGGGAGGAAUACCGAUGGCGAAGGCAGGUCUCUGGGCUAUAACUGACGCUCAUGCACGAAAGCGUGGGGAGCAAACAGG
rnacentral:rRNA from 1 species